rnacentral:rRNA from 1 species
AUUGAACGCUGGCGGUAUGCCUUACACAUGCAAGUCGAACGGUAACGCGGGGCAACCUGGCGACGAGUGGCGAACGGGUGAGUAAAGUAUCGGAACGUGCCCAGUAGUGGGGGAUAGCCCGGCGAAAGCCGGAUUAAUACCGCAUGAGACCUGAGGGUGAAAGCGGGGGAUCGCAAGACCUCGCGCUAUUGGAGCGGCCGAUAUCAGAUUAGGUAGUUGGUGGGGUAAAAGCCUACCAAGCCGACGAUCUGUAGCCGGUCUGAGAGGACGACCAGCCACACUGGGACUGAGACACGGCCCAGACUCCUACGGGAGGCAGCAGUGGGGAAUUUUGGACAAUGGGCGCAAGCCUGAUCCAGCCAUGCCGCGUGCGGGAAGAAGGCCUUCGGGUUGUAAACCGCUUUUGUCAGGGAAGAAAUCUUCUGGGUUAAUACCUUGGGAGGAUGACGGUACCUGAAGAAUAAGCACCGGCUAACUACGUGCCAGCCGCCGCAGUAAGAC